CUUUCUUUUCUAGGGAAGACUUUCUCCUACUGCCUAAGAGCCUCUAGUCUUUGGACUCUAUUUCGCAAGGUAUAAAUUUCCUCUGUCAUCACUGAAUGACAGUAUGCUUGUUUGUGAUGGAAGUGUCUCCAACUCUAAAAUAAACAGUUGGGCAGUUGCAGUUGGGCAGUGCUGUAAUUCUCAUUAUCUGUUUCCUGUUACUUUUUCUUGUGGUCACUGAACUUCUGCUUUCCUCUCUCUUCACAAGAAAUUUUUUAGAAUUAGAGACAAAACCAAGAAGAGGAAACCUUUGCAACCCUUCCUCUCAGAAGAAUGUAUUUUUUGGUGAUCCUGGCUUUUCUAGGACGAAUUACUGAUAAGGAGACAUUUGAGACCAUUCCUGCAAAAUCACACGAUAAUCAUUUAGUACAAGAAGAAAGUAACAUCUCUCUCUCUUGUGAAUUUCAAAUGAAGCGCUCAGGACAACCAUUUAUUAUAUAUUGGAUCAAAUAUAAAGAAACAAGCAAAUGCCUGUCUUCUGUUGAGAGAGAGCCAUAUACUUUCUCGUAUAAUACACAUUGCUGUAUUGAUGAGAUGAUCGAAGGACGACUAUUGAACUAUACAAGCUUAGAUUCAAACAAGACACACGUAGUCCAUAAUAUGACCAUCUUGAAUGUUACUUACUCCGACAGUGGAACUUAUUUAUGUGUUGUAAAUGCCUGGUCAAGAGAUAAACAUGUGUGGAAGAUUGCAAAUAACCUUUCUAUAGAAGUGAGGAAGCAAGCCAUUCCAUCCUCUGCUUCCAUGCCAUUGUAUGCCACCACUGGAUUGAUCGUAGGGAUUAUUAUCAUCAGUGGGAUAGCAUGGUUGAUCUAUAACAAGAAAACCAAAUCAAAAGGAAAGCCAUCUGCACAACUUCCCAGAGCUCAGGAUGCUCUUGAAAUUCCAGGAGAUGAAUGUUCCCCGUACGCAGUGAGAAGCAGCGAAGACUUGCAAAGAAAUGAAGUGUUGUGUUCACUUGGAACAAGCCCAUAUGAGGACCCAAAUGCAGCCUAUUGUACAGUGGAUAACACUGCAGCAACUGGCAAGGGGCCAGGAGAUGAAAUACAGACAGUCUAUGAAGUGGUGCCACAAUAGCUGUUCCUAGGAGCUGGAGAAUGGACGUCGGUUUGAAAAUAACUAUGUACUUUUGGCUGAUUUUAGGGGAAAAAACUCAGCAUAGUAGCCUUGACUACCCAAUUUUGACUAUUCAAUGAGCUAUCUUAGAAAAUAUUAUGGGGCAGAUCCUCUACUGAUAUAAAUUCUCAUAGCUCCAUUAUGAAGCUAUGACC
rnacentral:lncRNA from 1 species